rnacentral:rRNA from 1 species
GCCUCUUUAUGGGGUGACUGCGUACCUUUUGUAUAAUGGGUCAGCGACUUAUAUUCUGUAGCAAGGUUAACCGAAUAGGGGAGCCGAAGGGAAACCGAGUCUUAACUGGGCGUUAAGUUGCAGGGUAUAGACCCGAAACCCGGUGAUCUAGCCAUGGGCAGGUUGAAGGUUGGGUAACACUAACUGGAGGACCGAACCGACUAAUGUUGAAAAAUUAGCGGAUGACUUGUGGCUGGGGGUGAAAGGCCAAUCAAACCGGGAGAUAGCUGGUUCUCCCCGAAAGCUAUUUAGGUAGCGCCUCGUGAAUUCAUCUCCGGGGGUAGAGCACUGUUUCGGCAAGGGGGUCAUCCCGACUUACCAACCCGAUGCAAACUGCGAAUACCGGAGAAUGUUAUCACGGGAGACACACGGCGGGUGCUAACGUCCGUCGUGAAGAGGGAAACAACCCAGACCGCCAGCUAAGGUCCCAAAGUCAUGGUUAAGUGGGAAACGAUGUGGGAAGGCCCAGACAGCCAGGAUGUUGGCUUAGAAGCAGCCAUCAUUUAAAGAAAGCGUAAUAGCUCACUGGUCGAGUCGGCCUGCGCGGAAGAUGUAACGGGGCUAAACCAUGCACCGAAGCUGCGGCAGCGACACUGUGUGUUGUUGGGUAGGGGAGCGUUCUGUAAGCCUGUGAAGGUGUGCUGUGAGGCAUGCUGGAGGUAUCAGAAGUGCGAAUGCUGACAUAAGUAACGAUAAAGCGGGUGAAAAGCCCGCUCGCCGGAAGACCAAGGGUUCCUGUCCAACGUUAAUCGGGGCAGGGUGAGUCGACCCCUAAGGCGAGGCCGAAAGGCGUAGUCGAUGGGAAACAGGUUAAUAUUCCUGUACUUGGUGUUACUGCGAAGGGGGGACGGAGAAGGCUAUGUUGGCCGGGCGACGGUUGUCCCGGUUUAAGCGUGUAGGCUGGUUUUCCAGGCAAAUCCGGAAAAUCAAGGCUGAGGCGUGAUGACGAGGCACUACGGUGCUGAAGCAACAAAUGCCCUGCUUCCAGGAAAAGCCUCUAAGCAUCAGGUAACAU